AAUAGGUAGCAGCCAAAAGCCUUGAAUCAAAACCAAUAGCCCAUGCACUCAAGUCAUGCUCCAUUAUCAGUGCAACAAUCCCAGUCUCUACAGUCCCAAUUAUGCAUAUUAGAGCUGCUAGUGACAUCUCUGCUGGGAUGAAGAAGCCAGCCCAGCUAACAAUACAGCUGAGCAACAAGAUCGUGCCCAUGACCCAGUGCUGAUCUGUGGCUGUGCUGGCGGCGUCAUGGUGGCUGAUGCCAUGGGAGUAUGGGAUAAUGUUGAUCGCAGGGCCUCUGUAGAGUGUCAUGAGCAUGGCUCCGGUCACUGUUAUUCCUGUGCCAAUCACCUUGGCCAAGCUGGGUGCUUUCCUUAGAGACAUGGAAAAUGGAUGAAUUAGUUUAGUUCGUGAUCUAUUUUACCUGAAGAUGACAGCCAUGAUGAAGGUGACUGCAGGCAACAUGUUCACAGUGGCGGAUGCAAAUGUUGCUGAUGUGUACUUCAUGCCCAGGUAGUACAAGUUCUGAUCUACGACUGGCCUGAUUUAUUUAUAACAUUACGUAAUGAAAUUAUUAGUUUAGUUAGUAAUGUUAUUGGAUAAAGGUUUAUGUGAUUAAUAAUCAUGCAAAGCUGGCCCCAAGUAAAUGAAUUAUAAAUCUAGGAGUAAUUGGCAUAAGAAUAAUGCAUGGUUCUUUGGUUAUAAAUUACAUCACAUUAUGUUGCAUUGAAUAACAUAGCUACACUUUUGAAAAUGAACGAUUGUGGUUAAUAAUAUAACAUACUCAGUGCAUGCAUAUAGUGGUUUAGCCUUACUUUUUUGAUCUAGUGUUUAGUAAUGAGUACUUCUUUGUAAUUAAUAAAUAUCAUUAAACUUACAUGUUACUCAGAUUUUCAAAUAAUAUAUAGCGUGUGGCCCUGAUGCAUGAGUGAGAUUUAUGAGACCAUAAUAUAAUUUAUUAAUCAAAAUGAAGCUAUAAUCAUGACCGCUCUUAACUACCUAGGAUGUGAAGUAAGGUUCUUUUAGCCACUUAAACUAGAUAGCCGUGUGUGUCCAUGUGUCCAAGAAAUCCUCAUGCUAGAACAGAAGUAACUAUCAGCAGUUAGCACGCACAAGAAUUAAUAAUGUUGGGUUCAAGGACAUUACUCUAGGAAACCCAGCACAAGUAGCUUCAGAAACAGCUUUUUCGUCAUCUUUGGCCUUAUUUUCCUGCAAACCAGACCCAAAUGCAUAAGAAGCACGCACAUGCAAAUAUAUAUAUAUAGAGAGGGGUGUGUUUGUGUGCGAGAGCAGUUAGGGUUAUAUUAGUGAAUUACUUUUCAAGAAAAUAAGCAAAGGGAGCAAUAGCAAUGGUAGCAGUGACAUGGCGGUAGCAAACCAAAACCCAGUUACUGAAACCACGCCUCAUGGAGACAAGGCUUAUUAUGUACAUCCCUGCAUAACCAAACUGCAGGGCCAACAUAGCCAAAUAAGGCUUCAAUUUAUGGAACAAUUCCAUAACCACACUGCUACCCAUCUUCCUUCUACUAUUACUACUGCUAGUCUCUUUCUCUCUCUCUCUCUAGAUCUUCCCUUAUAUGAUGCUGAUAUUAACCCAAUCUAUGGCACGGCAUAAACAAAGGGUUUGCGCCCUUUUUAUAACACCCAUAAAGUAACAGAAAGAGAAUCUUGCUUGCAUUGCAUGUAAGAAUAAUAUAAUGGGGUUAAUGUUUUUUUUUUUUUAAAAAAAAAAAGAGAAGGCAAUGAAGCUUAUGCGGAGUGAGUGUAUGAUGUAUGUAUAUGAUGAUGUAAAAUAUUCUUGAAUAUUAUUAAUGCAACAUCUAUAUGUUUGUCACUAAACUGAUGCAUGAGCUUUAAAUUGUCCUUUAUAAUAUGAUUCCCUAUCCAACUGCUGAAAAUACUGUCUGCAUGUUAAGAAUCUUUGCCUAUUUAGUGAAAAGGAUUGCACCAAGGAGUUUCCAUGGAUCUGAUCUGAUUUCCUUUAUUUCAUUUCUUGUAAUUAUUAUUAUUAUUAUUAUUAUUAUUAUUAUUAUUAUUAUUAUUAUUAUUAUUAUUUUACUAUAUAUUUGAAUAUGGUGUAUUAUUAGGAAUGUGGGGUUGAUAUUUUUUGACCAACAAGUGCUAUUAUGGCUAAGUGGUGUCUGAUUAUGUAUUGUAGGGCUUCUUUGGUUUCUUUCAAGUGUGGAGGAUGAGUGGACACUUUAAUGGCAAAAUAAUGGGUUGCAUAAUUAGCCUAAAUAUUUUGGGGGUGGGUAGAGGUGUACUAAUUUGGCAUUGCAUUUUAGUUUAAUUAGGGCUUUUAUUCUUUUGCAUUCAUAUCGUAAGCUAUAUGUUCAGAUUUCUAUCUAUGAAUUUAUUCAUUUAUUUUUGGUAGUGAAUGUUUUGUUAACAUGAAAAAAACUUGUUACAUAAUAUUCUCUCUAUUGCAUAUUAGUUUCAUAAGAAUGUAUAUAAUAUUCCGGCUAUUAGCAAAAUUCAAGCUCUCAUUUUUGAUUCAAUAAAAUGAAAUGAGAGCUUGAUACAUGUUCAGAUUUCUUUCUAUCAAUUGGUUGAUUGAUUUAUAUUUUUUUGCCACAUUCUCUUUAUGUAUAUAAUAUUCUCAGCUAUUAGCAAGCAAAACAAUAGCUUCGUUUAUGCAAUUGACAAAAAGAAACUAGAUUUUGUUUUAGUGAACUUUUGGGUCUCCGUCCUUUAGAGAUUGCAGUUAUAAUAUUGAUGACUAUCACAUUAUAUAUAAUUGAUGAGUUUUAGUUAUAAUAUUGAUGACUAUCACAUUAUAUAUAAUUGAUGAGUUUUAUAAAUUGUAUGAGAAUCGGGUAGUUGGAUCAUUUUAAGCCUAGCUAGCUAUUCAACUUUUUGAAUGAUUUGCUUGUUGAUCAUUCAUAGGAUCACUACUUGUGUUAGUGUAUGUGACGUCUAUUUUCUUUAUUAUUUAUUUGAUUUUUCAAUUAUUUUAUCAGGGCUAUUAAGAAAUAUCUCAAAUAUUAUAUUCUUCUCAUUUAUGCAUAAUUAAAGUGAUGCAAGAUAAAUUAUUGUUAUUAUUAGCAUAUUGCAGAUUUGCAGUGUGUUCAUUCUGGAAUUGCCUUAAUAAAAUAAAGUUGUUUGUUUUUACGUACAAUCAUGAAUCAUGUGGUUGGCUAAUUAAUUCAUGUAUAUUGAUUUUUUAUAAGGAUUUUGGAAUCUAUAGCUUACACAAUUAUUUUUUAAAUUUCAGAAAUUUUGUGGGAUCUAAAAUAUUUUUUCCUCAAAAACAUCAAAUUAAACACCUAUUUUUUAUUUUUUAUAUUAUACUAAAAAUCAAUUUUACAUUCAAAACAUCACAAUUCAAAAUUUUUUACUAUUUAAAUCUCUAAUCAAAAUCCAAACCUCCAAACAAACACACCUAAUGAGCAACACUUUCAUUGAAUUGAUUGACAAAGUGUAGAAAUGAGAGAUGUUAAGAAGGAAUAAAAGUCGUACUUUAAAUUUGCCUUGCGUGGAAGAAAUUGAAUGUCUAAUUAGCAUUGCUUUUGAGUUACCUUUUUUUUGUGAAAAGAAUUUUUAAUUAGAGAAAUAAGUGAAUAUAUUAGGGAAAAUUGCAAAAAAUACAUUUACGUAUAUCCAAUUAUCAUUUUCGAAUAUAUAUAUAUUUUUGCAAUUUAGGACAUUACGUGUAUUUCGGACAUUUAUGCCCUCUGGUGCUGGAAAAACGCACGUGACCGUCAGUAUACGUGGACGCCGUCAUUGCUAUGUUGUCGUCCGCGUGGUCGUCGGACAGGUGACACGGAAUUAUUGUUCUUUCACUUUCGCAAUUUAGAACAUUAUGUAUAUAUCGGCUAUUAUUUUUGUCU